AACUGACUUGUAAUCAGUAGGUCACCAGUUCGAUUCCGGUAGCCGGCA
rnacentral:tRNA from 1 species